GGGGGUAUAGCUUAGUGGUAGAGCAUGUGCUUAGCAUGCACGAGGUCCUGGGUGCAAUUCCCAGUACCUUCA
rnacentral:tRNA from 1 species